UACGGAGGGUGCAAGCGUUAAUCGGAAUUACUGGGCGUAAAGCGCACGCAGGUGGCUGAGUCAGUCGAUUGUGAAAGCCCUGGGCUUAACCUGGGAAUUGCAGUCGAUACUACUCAGCUAGAGUAUGGGAGAGGGUAGUGGAAUUCCCGGUGUAGCGGUGAAAUGCGCAGAUAUCAGGAAGAACACCCGUGGCGAAAGCGGCUCUCUGGAACGGUACUGACGCUGAGACGCGAAAGCGUGGGGAGCGAACAGG
rnacentral:rRNA from 1 species